rnacentral:rRNA from 1 species
GAAACAUUUGAAGUGACUUAGUGGCGGACGGGUGAGUAACGCGUGGGUAACCUGCCCUGUACUGGGGGACAACAGUUGGAAACGGCUGCUAAUACCGCAUAAGCGCACAGCAUCGCAUGGUGCAGUGUGAAAAACUCCGGUGGUACAGGAUGGACCCGCGUCUGAUUAGCUAGUUGGUGGGGUAACGGCCUACCAAGGCGACGAUCAGUAGCCGGCCUGAGAGGGUGAACGGCCACAUUGGGACUGAGACACGGCCCAGACUCCUACGGGAGGCAGCAGUGGGGAAUAUUGCACAAUGGGCGCAAGCCUGAUGCAGCGACGCCGCGUGAGUGAUGAAGUAUUUCGGUAUGUAAAGCUCUAUCAGCAGGGAAGAAAAUGACGGUACCUGACUAAGAAGCACCGGCUAAAUACGUGCCAGCAGCCGCGGUAAUACGUAUGGUGCAAGCGUUAUCCGGAUUUACUGGGUGUAAAGGGAGCGUAGGCGGCAUGGCAAGUCAGACGUGAAAGCCCGGGGCCCAACCCCGGAACUGCAUUUGAAACUGUCAGGCUAGAGUACCGGAGAGGUAAGCGGAAUUCCUAGUGUAGCGGUGAAAUGCGUAGAUAUUAGGAGGAACACCAGUGGCGAAGGCGGCUUACUGGACGGUAACUGACGCUGAGGCUCGAAAGCGUGGGGAG